GCUCCGAGGAGGGCCGGGAGAGUGGGAGGGGACGAGUCAGAACUACGGAAGAGGGGUGUGUCGAAUACAGCGAGGUGAUUAGAUGGAGAGGCAGAGCAGAAGAUUGACCAAUAGAAGCUGUCCGGGAUGGCUCCCAUUGGUCAAUGUUUUUGCAGCUCUGCACCUGCUAGGGUGAACGGAUUUUUUUCCAUUGUUUUUUCUCUUCACUUUGUGGAGACCGCACUAAAGGACCAUGAUCGCCAUAGAAACGAGGUUCAUAAUAAUUACCAAUCCCUCCAAUCGUCAACCAUGCCUUUAGGUAAUGGUUCACACUCAUGUUCAGCAGCACAUUCGAUAUCAAACAAAACUGCUGUGUCAGUUAAAUCAAGUGGUUCCCAACUAAGACUUACCCAGAUUACUGCAAAGCAUCAGCAGAAUAUGAAAAUUAAAAAUCCAAAAAGGGAAGAAAAACAAACUAGUAAAACAUUAACUCAAGAAAAACAAAAAUUUCCAUCUCAGAAAUAUUUUCGACAGCCUGAGUUCAACUUUGCUUUUCUUCAGUUAGUGACAGUAAUAAAUCUGAGCAGCUAUAAAACUCUUGGAGAGGUUCAUGGUUAUCUGGGUGUAGUAAGAGAACAUCAGCAGAUGUUUGCCGGACCUCCAAAACGGGAACACUUGAUUCCAGGCAUCAUUAUUUUUAAUCGAGGAUAUUAUUGUUGUUCACUGAUGUCACUGAAGCCAAAAGUUGGAAAUUCCCAGCACAACCUCUGAGGGAUUUAGAGGUCAGCUUAUAUAAUACAAGGAAAAACACAGCAGCUGCCAGCAUGUUUGUUUACAUGCUGUCUUUCUGGAUACAACAGUUCAAAAUUCCAUGUAAAGUGUCUAUUUCAGGGACGGCGCGGCUCUAAAUAUACAACGAACCUGCUUCAAGAAUCACACGCCACAGCGCCGACGUGUUAUUAAGGCUGUUUCAUCCUCUCAUCGGAUGAUUCUGAAACUCUGCAGCCGCGGUGUAAUGAGACGGCCUGACAGCCAUGUCCUGGUGAUGUCAUUGAGGGUUUAGAGAAGAUGAUUGGUCAGCUGUCAGCGGCAGUCUGUCCACGUCCUUUAUCUGCGCUGCAGUUCCCAUGACCACCUUCUGCUGUUGCCAGAGAUGUAAACUGACACCUGUGGCCUCCUGAUGAUUUAGACAUCAGGAGUAUCACACACACAUGCACACACAUGAACACACUUCCACCCCAAAACAGAAAUAAAAGUGAAAACUGUUUCCAAACUAUUAACAGAUGAUAAAAACAUGCACGACGUUCAGGUGCAGACACAAACACACAUUGGGUCUCUGUGCAGACAGUAAUGUAAUAAAACUACCAGCUAGGUCUUACACAGUCCUCCCUGUGCAGCAAAGGACUGUGGGUACAGUCAACAUACUGUCCCCUGAGAUGCAAUGUGAAACCACUUCGCUGCCUUGGUGCUCACAAACACACAGCCGAUCAAAAAGAGAGGAAACCUUUAUAAACGAACAGAUGAGAGAGCAGAAACGACAACGGUAUUAUCUUGCUGUUUGAACGAUGGACUCACUGAAGGUGUUUUAAUGUGAGGAAAACAAACACAGACGAUGAUAGUCUAGAAGUCUGUCAUUGUAGCCAAAAAUAUUAUAAAGAUGACUCGUUAAAGUGUGAAAGUCCAUGCACUAUGCACUGUUGACCUGAGAUUUUCCCAUGGGUCACUAUAACACAACUUGGCCACUUAAGUAGCAUCUUGAACAUCACCUCUACUACUUGUCCACUGUGAAGCCAUGUUUUUUUUUUUUUUAUAUACGAGUAGAAGAACCAAAAUAUUAACGUAAAAUGACGCCAUGGUAACCUCUUCUUCUCAUGCGCUUGCUAUCCCACAGAGGGACUCUCAUUAACCUUCAAAUGUAACCACGUCUCUUUGAAAUGGCGAGCAUUAAGUAAUCAUUUACAGAAACUUAUCAGUCAAAUCGACUCCUGCAGCUUCUUUAUUUACAGGUAUCUGAUGUUAACACGCUGCAUGGGAACCUCCAACAUCCUUCUUCUCAGCUUGCUCCCAUGAGUGAAAAAGCGGGUGUGUGUUGAUGCUGAUGAUAAUUAAGUCGAUGAACAUGAAAAUGAAGAUCCUCUGCACUAGCGUGUGUGUGUGUGUGUGUUACAGUGUGAGAAAGUCACAGAAAGAGAAAGUGUGUGUGUGUGUGUCGAUGAAGUGAAGAGAAGAGAACUAAAGGGCCAUUUAUAGCUGUCACGCACUGACAACCAUUACCCAUGCAUUUACAGUACUCUCAGCACAUACUGUCAGGAGGACUCUGCAUGCACACGCACAUACACACAUACACGCAUGAACACACAAACACACUCUACCUGACAGAGCCUAAUUAUCGACACCUCUCCCUGUCGGAUGAAACAAAAAACUGCUCUAUUUUCAGACUGAUGGAGUCUGAUGUCUCUCUGUCGUCUUUUUCUUCUUCUUCUCCCCCUCCCAGCGUCUUUUGUCGUCUCUGCGCGAUGCCUCGCCCGCCGCCCACCCUCUUAUCCGACGUUUGAUUCUCGACUCGUUAAAUAAGACUCAAAUUAAAACAGACAAUGAGGAAAGUUUCCCCCUCAAAGCCACUUUCAUUUGUUGUGAUUGUUAUUCAGAGUCACGGAUGGCAGUGUGCGUCUUUGUGUGUGCGUGCGCGUGUGUGUAUGUGUGUGUUCUGAGUAAAAAUGGUAGCAUGUGGCAUCUUGUCUUUGAGGCCCGCUUCAUUAGUUGUCAAACAGAACAGCCACAGUCACCUCUGGCCAACUACUGAGUGUGUGCAUGUGUGUGUGUGUGUAGGGGGGUUUGAGAUCAAGUGCUGCUUCUGUACUCUGCAGAAUCUGUUUCAGGGGGGUCAAUUCAACUUAUCACAGCUCUGAUUCAUUAUUUGUCCCUCCGCCCUGAUGCAACCAACAACACAAUAAUGACAUACUGUGUGUAUACCUGUGUGUGUGUAUAUGUGUGUAUUUUGUGUAGUGUGACAAUACGCUUCUCUAGGAUAUAUCUCGAGUAAUCCUUUAACAUAAACUGUUUAACCCACGAUAAAUCCAGCAAACUUAACCAGUAACCUUGACCAAAGCUUAGGGCUGGGCGAUAUGGCCUCAAAUCAAUAUCACGAUUUAUUGAUCAGUUCACCUCAGUAACGAUAAAUCGACGAUAACUACUUGACAAGCUGCUCACCCCCUCCCACAUUAACUUCAUCUACUUCAGCCGCUACAACUUUUGAACCGUCCUCCAUCUCCUCACCUGUCUUUCCCUCUUUGUUACGGACUGGAUGGGGUGGAGUCACGUCUCUGACGUAGGACAGCCUCUUAAAGGGACAUGAGACCACAGCCUACCUACACACAUCCAAAACCAACUUUUAUUUAUUUUUUUGACACCAAAUAUAUUGACACGGGCAAAAUGACGUCAGUUAUUGUUGUAAAUUUCGGUAUUGGUAAAUUUUCAGUUAAUCGCCCAGCCCUACCAAAGCUCAUGUAAACAUUUAGCACAGGCACAAAGACACACAGAGUGGUGUAGUGGUUAGCACUGUCGCCUCACAUCAAGAAGGUCGUGGGCUCGAAUCCGGGUCAGGGCAUUUCUGUGUGGAGUUUGCAUGUUCUCCCUGUGUCUGAGUGGGUUUACUCGGGAUUCUCCAGUUUCCUCCCACAUCCCAAAAACAUAUAGAAGUGGGGUUAGGUUAAUUGGCCACUUUCAAAUUGCCCGUAGGUGUGAAUGUGAGCGUGGAUGGUUGUUCGUCUCUAUAUCUCAGCCCUGCGAUGAACUGGUGACUUGUCCAGGGUGUCCUCUGCCUUCGCCUGAAGACACUGAGAUAGGCUCCAACCCCCAACGGGAAUAAGUGGUAGAAAAUGGAUAGAUAGACAAAGACAUCACACAUUCAUUUUAACCUUCUUAAUACUCUGUAAACAAAACAGCCAGUUCAGAGCAACAAACUGAGAUUCAACUCUCAGAGCAUCAAAUCUCCAUUUAAGGUGUGAGGAUGAGAGACGGGGGGAUGAAGAGGAGGAAGGAAGGAGGGAUCAGAAAACUUACUGUACUGUUUCAAACAAUGACUGCAUCUGCCCUGAGAACGAGGGGUUGGGUUGGGGUAGAUUCUGGUAUUUUUGUUUCUUUUAUUUCCUUUUCUGUGUAAAGUACUUUGUGCUACAUGGUCGUGUAUGAAAAGUAAAAUAUAAAUAAAGACUGAUUGAUUGAUUGAUUGAUUGAUUGAUGGGCCGGGUACCUGGGAUAGGUCACUUUUACUUUCAGUCUCUUAAAACAUUAUUGGAACCCCUCCUUUACUUCAACUAAGUGGUCCUUUAAAAAUACCAGGUCCUUUUGUGUUUUUGACUAAAUCCUACCUCAUCUUAAUCAUUGUGUUUUUAGACUGACUCUCCAACGGUGAUUUGUAACAACGGUUGGCAGCUUCAAAUGAUUUUGACCUACAGAUCAGCAAACGCCUCGAUGAGCUGCUCUUGAGCGUGAAUCGCACCCACCUCGAAAGAAUCACUGGAAAGACUCCAGUUUUUCCUGUUCCUAGAAGAAUAAGUGAAGAUAUUUAAUGGAAGGUCUGAUUUUCAUUGAGCGAACACUCAAGCCUUCAAGCUAAAACAGCGAGUUGGCAGGUAACCAGUGUGAACAUUAUGUUGCCUUCACUGGACAAUCUCCAGAUCAGUCCAGCCCUGGAGAAGAUCGGACUCUCAGAGGCUUUCAUUGACAUCACCUACACCCUCAGAAAUGUGCAAAUGUGCAGAGCUUAUUCCCACAGGGGCCGACCUCAUGUAACUUCCUGUUCAAGGUGGGAAGCUUAAAUUUUGUUAUCCUGUCUUACUGCUGUGUUUGAGGUUGUAAGUUGUGUAAGCCUUGACUAGCUGUCAAAUUGUAGUCCUGCUCCCUAAUUGAUAACCACCCUCAAAGACUAUGGAUAGGGAGAAGCGGCAGAAACAUCAGGAAGUAUAUUAUAAAGUUAAAGAAGAUAUUUGUGAACGCAAACUUACUUCAGGACACGGUUAACUUAAGUAUUCAGUCACUUCAUGAUACUGAUAUUAUCUUAAUAUUCAUGGAAAACUUGGAAGUAAAACAGAGGAAAGCAUCACAACACUCAAAAAAAUACUUGAAUUAUCUCAUCUUAGGUAUCUAAGUUUUCUCAAAUUAAGAUUCAUCACCAACUAUCUGACCAAAACCUCUUUAGAAAAGACAUAAAUAAUAAGUUGUUAUGCUCUUAUUUCGAUAAUUUUCUGUCUUGCGCUGAAAUUGCUUAAUUCAUGCUUUUAUUUCUAAACGGUUGGACUACUGUAACGCUCUUUACGUUGGUGUUAGUCAGGCUUCUCUCACAUGCUUACAGUUCGUCCAAAAUGCUGCUGCUUGUCUUUUAACAAGUAAACGAAAACGUGAUCACAUGACCUCAAUUCUGGCGCCCCUCCAUUGGUUUCUCAUUCAUUUUAGAAUUAAUUUUAAAAUUUAAUUGUUUGUUUUUAAAUCUUUAAAUGGAUCAGCACCACAGUACAUCUCUGACAUCUUAAAUGUUUAUAUCCCCCCAUGUUCCUUGAGGUCUGCUGAUCAGCUCCAACUCGUCGUCCCUAAAACUUGUUUAAAAACCUGUGGCUCCCAAAUUGUGGAACAAAUUGCAACUCGAUCUACUUUUAGAUCACAUGUUAAAACUCAUUUUUAUUCCUUUGCUUUUAGCUCAGCAUUAGAGUUGUGUGAUCUCUGCCCUUUUAUCACUUUUAUUUCUUUGAUGCUUUUGUGUUUUUAUUUUAUUUCAUUUUAAAUGUUUUUUACCUGCUUUUAUUUAUUUCCUGUUGAUGUUUUCUGCAGCGUUUGUUCUUUUAAUUUUACUGUGCAGCACUUUGGUAAACUUGAACGUUUUUUAAAAUGUAUUAUAUUAAUAAAACAGAUCGGCUUGGAAAUGCUUUAUUCAUGGUACAGUUACAGUAGACUAAUUCUGAUAGUAAGUAACAGAACUGAAUAAAAACAGUAAAGUAUAAAUGUUCAAUUGAUUGGUAACCUGAAGAGGCAGAAGAUCUAAUGUUGUUUUUGGAUUUACAAUAAAGCUUGAACACCAGCUCCAAAAGCUUACUGGCAAGUCAUCAGCUGCUACUUCUUCUUCCUCUUCUUCGUCUAAUUUGUUUUCAAACAUGUGUGACUAAAUACUGUAUUGUCGACUAGUUGAUGAAAUAUAGACAACCCAAACAUAAACGCCAAAACAAUUGGUUUGCUUGUACAGACAUUGUACCCUUCCCAUCGUAUCUGUAAUUCGCAAACAUUUGUUGAUGAGGAAUGGUCGAGUGCUAACAUCGGCUGUGUCCUGGUGAGUAUGUCUUUUUUUAACUUAAAUAUGGUCUGAUUUGUCUCCAGUUUUCCACUACACCUUUGCUUAUCAAUCAGGGAGAACAGACAACAAUUUGUCAGGUCAACAAAUUUUGCAGGAUUUACAGUCUGACCUAAGUAGUCUCAAGUCGUCGUAAAACAACGAUCACUUCAAAACUGUUCUUCUCUUGUUUUCACAGUGAAGAACAGGCAGUUUUCUUGUUUCCUAUCAAUAGCAUUUUGAUUACAAAAGUAAGACCUGACUUUGUGAACCAAACAUCUCUGUACUUCCUCAGUUCUGGAGAAAUUCACCAGAAAGAGCACAAGUUGUUUUGCACUUUGUUCAACUUCACUAGGGAAGAAAAGUUUGGGUCUUUCCUCACUGACGUCAAGACAGCCACUUCUCUGGAGCCGUUUUCAUGCUGGCUUCAGAACUUGGCUCCCGGUUCUUGCUGCUUGUUCUAAUCGCAUUGCUAAACUUAAACCCCAAUAAACUCACCGAGAGUGCUGGCUAACAAAAGUUACAUCACCUCGCAAAAAUGUCAAUACUUGAAAAACCUGGUUCACACAAGGAUAGAAGAACAGCACACAGAUACUUAGGAAGGAGCUCAAAUGCUGCUUCUGCCCUGUAUGACUUUCUGCUCCAUUCAUCACCUCUCCUCUCGGCUCCCACGCUGCUCUGCUGAGGUAAAUAAAUAAACACAGGGAGUAAGAUUGUGUGAGGAAGAGGAAGGUGAUGGGAAAACUAUUGAAGGAGGUAUUAGCUCAAUCACUCACCAGCUCGUGGAUCAGGCGGCUCUUCCUAUUUAUCUCACUCCUAGCAGGGUGCUGAGAGACAGUUUCUUCUUCUUCUUUCUGGCUCUUGAUGCCUACAUCUCCAUCUUUUUUCCCCUCCACCUCUCCACACUUGCUCUUCUGCUCUCUCCUGAGGAUGAAUGGAGGUGAGUGUGCAGCCAGGAACUUAGUGCAUCCAUCAUGGCUGCAUUGGCAGGGCUGACUGGUGCACAGCUCUAUGAGUGAUGCCACCAGGAGGCUCUGCUCUGGAUUCACACAGGAGGGCUGAUCUCAGAGCAGCCAGGAUGAGGAAGCUGGUUGGCCGGACUUCCCAAAAGAAAGUUUCUGUUAAGAUUCAUCUACAUAAGAGUUGCUAGAGCCAACUUCACACCAUCCACUAUGAAUUUUCCUGUUUUGUUGAGGAAAUAGUAUGUAUAAUAUUUCAAAUGAUUGUAAUUAAAACCAACAUGAGAUUCCUUGUUUUGACAUUUUUGCGAUGGCUAAAGAUUUGUUUACAAAAUAAAUUUGACAAUUGUGGUGAACAUUUGUGCUCCUGUCACUUUUCUCAUGUCAUCCCUUCAGUUAUGGUUCCAAAGUAAAAGCCAACACUUCCUUUCUUUUAUCUUACUAAAAUGUGACAUUUCAACAGUAUAUUCUGUGCCAUUUUUAUCAUACUAAACUAUGAUAUUUUGAACAAACUACACUGUGGCUUUUUUCAUGCUAAAAUUUUAAAUUUUUAUCAUAGUAUACUAUGACUUUUUUUUAAACAUUUAUUACUAUAAAAUUUUUAUCAGACUAUACAAUGACUACUUUUCAUUUUAAAAUUUGAAUUUUUCAUCAUACUUUACUCUGACUUUUUUCUAUCAUACAAUACUAUGACAUUUUUAUCAGUCUAUACUAUGACAUUUUAAUCAGACUUAAACUAUGACUUUUUUCAUAUUCAAUUUUGACAUUUUUAUCAUAGUAUACUAUGAAAUUUUUUAUCAUACUAUACUAUGAUAUUUUUAUCAGACUAUACAAUGACUUCUUUUAAUUUUAAAAUCAGAAUUUUUCAUCAUAGUAUAGUAUGACUUUUUUCUAUCUUUCUAUACAAUGAUAUUUUGAACAUACUAUACUUUUCAUACUAAAAUUUGACAUUUUUACCAUAGUAUAGUAUGGCCUUUUUAUCAUACUAUUCUAUGAUAUUUUUAUCAGAAUAUACAAUGACUUCUUUUCAUUUUAAAAUUUGAAUUGUUCAUCAUAGUAUGAUUUUUUUUAAUUCAUUCUAUACAUGAUAUUUUAAACAUACUAUACUAUGAAUAUUUUUCAUACUGAAAUUUGACAAUUUCAUCAUAGUAUACUAUGACCUCUUUAUCAGACUAUACUAUGAUAUUUUUUAUCAGACCAUACUAUGCCUUUUUUAAAAUAAAAUUUUAAAUUUUAGCAUUGUAAACUAUGACCUUAUCUAUCUUACUAUAGUAUGAUAUUUUUAUCAGACUAUACAAUAACUUUUUUUCAUUUUCAAAUUUGAAUUUCUCAUCACAGUUUACUAUGACUUUUUUUGAUAAUACUAUACAAUGAUAUUUUGAACAGACUAUACUGUGACUUUUUUCAUACCAAAAUUAUAUAUUUUUAUCAAAGUAUUCAAUGACCUUUUUUUUUACUAUACUAUGAUGUUUUUUUAUUAUACUAUACAAUGACUUUCUUGUAUUAGAAUUUAAAAUUUUAUAAUAGUAUACUAUGACCUUUUUUGAUCAUGCUAUACUAUGUUAUUUAAACAUACUGUACUAUGACUAUUUUUCAUACUUAAAUUUGACAUUUUUAUCAUAGUAAAAUAUGACCUUUUUUAUCAUACAAUACUAUGAUAUUUUUUAUCAGACUUAUACUCUGACUUUUUCAAUUCAAAUUUGAAAUUUUUAUCAUAGAAUACUAUGACUUUUUUUUACCGUUCUAUACAAUGAUAUUUUGAUUGACUAUACUAUGACUCUUAUUCAUACUAAAAUUUGACAUUUUUAUCAUAGUAUACUGACUUUUAUUAAUUAUACUAUACUAUGUUAUGUUCAUCAGACUAUACUAUGACUUCAUUAUAUUUAAAUUUGAAACUUUAAAAUAGUACACUAUGACCUUUUUUUAAUCACUAUAGUAUAUGUUUAUCAGACUAAAUAAUGACUUCUAAUUUUAAAAUUUAAAUUUUUUUCAUCAUAGUAUACUAUGACUUUUUUCUAUCAUUCUAUACAAUAUUUCAAACAUACUAUACUAUGACUAUUUUUCAUACUUAAAUUGACAUUUUUAUCAUUGUAUACUAUGACCUUUUUUAUCAUUCUAUACUAUGAUAUUUUUAACAUACUGUAUGAAGACUUUUUUUCACACUAAAAUGUGAAUUUUUUAUCGUAGUAUACUAUAGUUUACUAUAUUAUAAUACUGCACUAUGAUAUUUUUUUGUCAGACUAUACAAUGUUUUUUAUAUAUUAAAAUUUGUUUUAGUUUUAUCAUAGCAUACUAUGACCUUUUAUACUAUUUUGAACAUACUACACUAUGACUAUUUUUCAUAUUCAAAUUUGACAUUUUUAUCAUAGUAUAAUAUGACCUUUUUUUAUCCGACUAUACUAUGAUAUUUUUUAUCAGACUAUACAAUGACAUUUGUAUCAUUCUAUACCAUGACCUUUUUAUCAUAUCAAUAUGUCAAUUUUUUUUCAUACUGAAAUUUGACUGAAAAAAACUUUUAUUAUACUUAUCACACCACUCACAUUAUUGUAGAGUUGUAAUAAUAAUCUUUAUUGUCCCCAGGGGGAAAUUUGCUUUCACAGGUCUUAUUCAAACACAAAACAGGAGUACAGACAACACAUACCAUAUGACACAAAACAUAUUACAAGGACAGGCCAUGAGAACCUCCCCCAGAAUACACAGAGACCAUCCUAGCGGUGAGGCAGUUUAAGCUUGUUUACUGCGGCGAUGGCUGUUGGGAUGAAACUCUUACUGAACUGUACUUCUACAAUUAGACCAUGUAUUAGCAUUAUGACAUGAACAUUCAGAGGUCACUUAUUCUCUUAUUUUUCUUCAUUUUGAAUUACCGUUCGAUCCAAACAAUGUGGAUUACACAGUUCAGCUCAGCUUGUUUGCAGGUGAACUCCUCAGACUAAGGUCUAAGACACGCUACAUUUACGUCCAGCAUGCCGGCAGCCUCCAGUCCAUUAAGUGUAAUUAUUCAUUCUGUGAGCGUAAUGAUGGUUAGGUUAGUGUGCAUGAGCCUGUUAAUGUGUAAGUCUGUGAAGAAAGAACAUGAUCACUGGCAUGUUUAAAAGCGCUCUACAUGAAGGUUAUUGUUUCAUUCAGGAGUGACGUGGAGAUUUGAGACUGGGGGUAAAAACUGUAAAUAGUUUCACGUGUGUGUUUACAAUUCCGCCUCAUUUUACAAGAAACCUUUUCCAUUUUCAUCACUUUCUCACUUUACUUCACUCUUCUGUGUAUGUCUAACACACACACUCACAGAAACACACACACACAGGCAUGCACAUAUGGUAAUGAAGGCGGUAAUGUAGACCAGCUCUCUCUCAAAUACAACACAAUUACAACAGAUUACACGGCAAUGGCUUCCACAUGGUUCACACAAAGUUGGAUUACCACCCCACAGUGUGUGUCAGCGUGCGCAUAUGUCGGUGUUUGUGUGGGUGUGUGAUAGGUGGUUUCCUCUGGACCACCACCAACAGAGCACACUGUUUUACAACAUCUAUUGAAUAAGACAAGAAGUGAAGGGGAACGCUGGGUGAAAGGGCAAGAGGGUGAUGAAGAGAGAGGAAGACGAGGUUGUAGAAAACGGCUGAAUGUUGUGGGUUUUUUGUGUACCUCUUUUCUGUGUGUUUAUAUUGUAGAAUAAUUUCAAACCCAUGAGCAAAAAAAGGAAACUUUUCUCAUGAUUCGAAGCCAAAAAGAAAAGUUACUCCUGCAAUGCAACCUUGGGUGUUUCUGUUCACAUAACUGCAAGGCAAAUUGUAUCAAGGAAACAACAUAUCCUAUUAGUCAUGUGCAUUACCACUGGUGCGUCAUAGUGUAUCUGUUGCACUGAGUUGUAUGCCCUUGACAUCUACGACCACCAGAUACACAGAAUAUGCACACAGUUUAAGUUAACAUUCAAGGACGUCCUGCUGUGAUUGGACAAACCUGAAUGUCUUUGUACAUUUGAGCUUAAUUUGAUCGCAUUUCAAGACUCAAACUGAGUGUAAGUAAGAAGGUGUUACCAGAACCAGUCUUCUAGUGCAGAUCUCUGUGCUCAGGGGGGUCACUUCAAAAAUACAGACAAUAAGAACAAACUUUUAUUAUAUUCCUGUGGACCUUCAAGGCACUGUGGGGAACUUUCAUGUUGUGUUGAUUCUGGUGACUUCUUUUGGACACAAGUAGUAAAAUUUUUGCAGAUGAUGUCGAAGCAAACGGCAGGCUCAGACACAGUGAGAUUUCCUACAUCACAACUCCAAGCUCCGCCCCCGUAGCCCCACUUUGCUGGCCAGAUUUGGAGAAGUAGAGAGGACGAUUGCUCGUAAGAAAGCUAAUUAUGAUAUUAACUUUCAUCAUGUCCCCAAAGACAAUAGUGUCCGAGAGCUGAAUAGAUUAGUUCUGCUGCACCAGCAAUGUCAGGCUACAAGCUAGUGUGAAGAGGAGUGUGCAGAGCAGCGCUGUCUCCACCAACAACUCAGAGGCGAAUUGCUAAUGAGCUACUGGAGCUCUGCAGAAGAAAGGUCCUUGAAAAUGACACAGGUAACGUGAUUUUGGUGAAAAAAAACCUCAUAAUCACUAUUUAACGACUACUGAGAACACUUAAAAAAAAGAUAGUUUUAACACAGUUUAAAAAAAUUGAUCAGAGUGGGAUUAAUAACAUGAAUAUACACACAGUUUGAACCACUCACAAGCUAGCAUUCACAUUCAAAUAGACCCAUUGUGCUAACCUGUUACUUAAUAAUCAUAGUAAUAAUAACUUUAUUUGUAUAGCACUUUUAAAGCACAUAGAAAAAGACAGAUAAAAACAAAAAGCUCAGUUAAAACGGAAUUGAAGGCCAUUUUCAUGUCAUUAGGAACCCAAACAAAACAAGAACCGUGUAACAUAAAAUGACAUAAAACUUAACAUAACAGAAAACGUAUAUUAUUGCCAGUCCUGGUUCAAUAUCAGCCAUGAGUGGAAAACCUUUCAUUGAAGUAAAAAUACUUAAAACACAUCCUGCUUUCUAUUUUACUCACAAAACCAGUAGAGUUCUGAACAUAAAAUCUUUGGGAUGAAGGUCAAUCAGGAAAAUAACUGGUCUUGUUGCUGAUAAUCUCAUACUCUGCCACGAUUAGGUAACAGUAUUAGAUUUCUUAAACUCUGUUAAAAACUCUGUACAGUGCCUUUAAAGUCGUGCCGUAUUCACGCCUGUUAAGACAUUCGUUAAAGCUCCCAUGAGGAACUUUAAAGUUGUUCAAGUUUUGACCAAAACUCUUGUUCAUUCUUUUUCAUUGAACCCCCCCAAUCAUUGCUUUUAGAUAUAUGUUGGGAAAUGUUAACACGGGCUACUAUGGCGGUUUACAGUAACCCACUUCUCUGAUACAUCUGUUGGCAGCAGUUACAAGGAUUUAACGUUACUUAAAGAAAUCCUUGUUUUUGUUUUUCUGAUUUUGCAGAUCAUAGAGAGGCAUUACAAUCGAUGAAAGUCUGAAAAUUCCUCACAGGAGCUUUAUAGUAGAAACAGUUAAUGUCUCUCCCUGUGAGACCAUGAUAUAAAUACAACAGGAUUUUAAAGGACCUCAUACAUAUGAUCUGGAAAAAUAUAAGGGAACUCUUAUUUAAGGAGUGACGUGUACAGUAUAUUUGAGUGUGCUGUCACUGUUGGAAAAGCAAGAAGUGGAAAAGAAAGAAGAGGAGAGGAAAGAAAAUUUGAGGAGGGGUGAGAAGUUAGAUGAGGUGAAGAGAGAGUAAAUGUCUACAGUGCACCUGGACAGGUGAAUGAUGAAUUAACCUUUCAACCAACUGCAGGAGUUCAGCCUCCAUCAAUCCAUCAGCAGGGACAGCAAACCACCAAUCACACCACAGGGAGGAGGAAAAACCCGCCUUCUUUUCAGGCUGGCUGUUCACCGACAAACACAUUUCUUCACUUAAAAGCGCGGGUGUGCAAACCCAGCGAGAGGACAGCAUGUGUAAAACCUCAAACUUUCUCCUAAGAUGAACUCACUCGGUUUUUCCGCUCCUUUUCUUUCUCUGUAACAAACAAACGGACAUUUCUCAGUUCAUUUUUCUUGUGUUUUCCCCACCGCAUUCCCAGGCUGUCCCACUGCAGUGCCAAUGUUUUCAAAAGAGUUACAUAUCAGACCUAACCCAAACCAGAACCGAGCUCUGCAGCUGUAACCGCAGGAGUCAAACAAUGCGAGACUCCGGGGACACCUACAUGUCCAGGAGACAUAUGACCCCUCUGUGAGCCAGAUUUGAUUUUAUUUAGCCUCUUUGUUUCUUCACUUGUCUCCUCUCUCACAGUCUGCCUCUCUUUACCUCCUGCUCCUCUCUGCUGCUGCUGAUGUGUGGUAGACCUCAGACUAUUGUGUUGCAGAUUUGAAAGUUUUCCUAAAUAGGCCCUGGUCUGUUCUAUUUAUGGGAGACAAACAGGCCGCAGCAUGUUUUUAUAUAAAGGCUUCAGGUUUUACUUACAUGUGAAGUGCAUUUAUAUCUGUCUUUAUACCAAGAGCAGCAUUUAUCCUGUUCCUCUAUUUUUAUUCACCAGAAACUGAAACUGCUAAAAAAACUCUGCUGUCUACUGUAGCUCGUGCGCUCAAAGGAACCACUGUACAAUAAAUCAGUCCAUGCAGCUUUGAGUCUUAGGGUUCACUGUACUUUUAUUAGUGUUUUUGUCAUACAACAUUUUUGCCAUUUUAUAAAACUGAGAAGAAAAACCGAGAAGUCACAAAAUCAGAAAGGUUCUUAAAGAGAUAUUCCACUGUAAAUUUAAGUUAUUGUCAAACACACCAUAACAUCAAGUGAGACACCCCCUCGAGAGAUGAAUGUUGCCGACCGCUUGCUUCUCUAGUUAUACCAACUUUAGUAACAACCGCACGGUAGCAAUACACAGCGGUCUACGACUCCACGCGCAAACCUCAACCAAAACGCCACUCUAUAGCCACAAAUAAUGCUCAGAACAGCACCUAACUUCAUCAACAGAACAUAUAGGGUCCCAGCCAUAGUACUAGCCACCAAACAUCUUUUUAACUUUGCCUGAUUUCUUUAACAAAAAGACUAAACACAACUCACCUACUCUCCUCCAGCAGCCGCUUGUUUGUGGGGAAGCCCUGACGAGUCGAUCACCGAGUGCAGCGGAGUUUCGCAGCUCAAGGAAGAACAUUUAUGAUUAUUACUUCAUGGAAAUGCAACCAGAGUUCUUGUGUAUCUUGUAUGUACACUGCAGACGUGGUAGUUCUUCUGCUUUAGUGUCUCAGUCUGAUUGCAAUUCCGUGAAGAAAUGAUCAUAAAUGUUCUUCCUUGAGCUGCGAAACUCUGCCGCACUUCAAAGAAAUUAUCCACUGCACUCGGUGAAACCAGGCAAAGUCAAAAAGAUGUUUGGGGUCUAGUACUAGGGUAUUUACAUGAAGAAAUGAUCAUAAUUGUUCUUCCUUGAGCUGCGUCACCCCGCUGUAGUCCUUAAUGGACUGGCCCAGUGUCUCUCUACAAACAAGCGGCUGCUGGUAGAGAGUAGGUGAGUUGUGUUUAGUCUUUUUGCUAAAGAAAUUAGUCAAAGUUAAAAAAAUGUUUGAUGGCUAGUACUAUGGCUGGGACCGUAUAUGUCCUGUUGAUGAAGUUAGUUAGAGCUGUGUUUUGAUUGAUGUCUGGUUGCAUGGAGAUGUAGACCGCUGUGUAUUGCUAUCGUGCGGUCGUUACUAAAGUUGGUAUAAUUAGAGAAGCAAACAGUCGGCAACAUCUCUUGAGCGGGUGUCUAACUCUGUGUUACGGUGUGUUUGACCAUAACUUAAAUUUACGCUGGAAUAUCCCUUUAAUAUUAUGGGGAAGAAAAAUCACUGUCAAGAUUAUUUGCACCCAAAGUUCAAAGUUGCAUUGGCAGACUAAUAUGAAAAACUGAGGCAGUAAUACUGAGUCAGUUAUGAAAUUCACUGAUUUUGGUCUAACAACAGAACUCUCACAUGCUCUCACAGGAACACAGAUAUGAGGUAUCACUUUGUCCACAGGGGGCGCCAAUAUCAACACAGACCAAACGCUCCUCAAAGCAGCUUUAAGGGGAAGAUUACACAACUAACUUACAAAGAGAAAAAGACAGGUCCUUAAAUUACAACACAACAUGUCUAAUAAGUUGUCAUCACAGUUAAGAUGAACACAAAGCAGUGGCAGAGUUCGGUGUAGUACAGAUUCAACAAAAACUGUGAGUAAAUCUUACCUUUUCUUACCCUCAGGUGUGAAUAAACGACUGAUUUAAGAACAAGUGAACCUGAAGAAAUAAUGAAUUUAUACCAUGUUGAAUGUAUUUGCAGGGCUGUUCCUUUAUUCUUGGGUGUUAAAUUAUCUGGAUGUAUUAAUAUUUGAGGAGUUUUGACCAUCCACAACAGAGACGUUAAUGUUACAUGGGUUAAAAUAUCAGUUUUAUAAGUGUUCGGUCUGUGGGGGACUCAGAGGUCAGCCAUGGACUCUCUCUGGCUCCUCAGGUUACUGUUGUCAUAUUUCUGGGAAUUUGAUGCAAUGUUUGGAAACGGAGCUGCAGUCAGGCAGGGCGGAUCACAGUGUCAGUGUGUGUGUGUGUGUGUCUGUGUGUCUUCACCAACUCUGCUCGGCCAGAAAUGAUUGUGUCAUUACAACAUCCAGGGCGUUCGAGAUCUCUCUCUCUCUCUCUUACACACACACACACACCAAGCCGGUUUCAGGGUUCAUCCCCUCCUCUGUCCUGGUCUCUGUCAGUCAUGCAGUGUGUUCUCACUCCUCACUCUUCUGAUGUCAUUUGGGAGUGCAUUGAUGGGUGGAGGGGGCUUAUGAGAAAGGCACACACAGACACACACUAACAUACACACACACACAUAUAAAGAGAUCUGGUUGGGUGUUAAUAGUGAGUUAUGGGUUUUUAAUGCCUAACACUGCGGCUGAUCCAAAGAGGAAAGUCAGGCCAACUUGCAGUUAAUCAAACCAUUUUACUGUGUGUUUGCACAUGUGUGUGUGUGUGUUUGUGAGUGUGUACAUUUGUGGGCCUCGCUUGUGAUGAAAUACAACAAUUCACAGCAGGCGUCGGAUUCAUAUGCGUGCCGUUCGUACGAGCAACUGCCCCAAAAACACAAACAGCAUGUGAGAAAGAGAGAAAGAAACGAGUAGAGAAUCAGAGAUAAAGACUCGGAGGUUGGGGGAGCUGCUGGAAGAGAAAAGGUAGAGAUAAAUAGAGAGAGAAAGUGAUGUGUAGAGAAAGGAUAAUGGCUUCCAUAUGAGAAUGUCAGAGCGUUUUCCUGCCUGCUUCUCGCUGUAAUCAUAUCAGCAGUCAGGCCGUUUCCAGCCUUCAUAAAUGUGAAGUAUGCAGCGGGUUUCAGGAUCCAGCUUCCUUUACAUAAACACCCCUUAGAAAAACAACCUGGGUGGACCUGACUCUGUGUGUGUGUGUGGGAGAGUGUGUGUGCUAAGUAAUAAGUGCUCACGCUGUCAUGAAGCUGAGUGUUGAUCUGCAGUAAAAACAGCAUUUUUGUGUAUGUGUGUUCAGAUCAGGUGAUGAGUGCAGUGAGUUAAAGCUCUCUUGUCAGGAAUAAAACAUGCGUUAGGAGUUCAUUUACUUUUUUCCCACCGUGUUUGUCUGUAAAGUCUGACCAGACAAAUUAGCAGCUGUGAGCAGACCACUUACAUGUCUUAUUUUGAUAUGGGAAAGAUUAACAGCGAACUCUAAGACAUCAGAAAAAAAGAUUUUUGUACAUGAACUUUUACAUUUACAGGAUGAAAUUAUUAAAGUUAUAAACAAUACUUCUUAUGCGAAGGAAGCGCAAAAAUCAAUCCUGCACAAAAGCUCUAACUUUGACCAAAAUCAUACUCUGAUCACUGUAAUUAUACCACUAUGGUACUGGUUUUAUUCCUGAGGGGGUGGAGUUUGAAUUUGAUUGGCUUAGUUAGUUAGUUAGUUAGUUAGGUAGGUAGGUAGGUAGGUAAAUUAGGGUGACCAUAUUCUGACUUCCCAAAAAGAGGACACGACUAUGCCGGGCUGAAUCACGGAUUCGCACAAAGUUAAUUUUGAAGGUUAUUUUCAGUCGGAUGAAGUGUCUUUUAUGCGCUUCUAACUUAGUAAGUCCACGUGACACAACCAAGAAACUUCCGUACAAAACCGCAGAAAUUUGACGGAUUUUAUAAACUUCCCCAGACAAAGUCGAACAAGGCCGGGCAGCCCCCAAAAAGAGGACACAUGGUCACCCUAAGAUAGAUAGAUAGAUAGAUAGAUAAAUAGAUAGAUAGAUAGAUUGUGUUUGAUGUACAGAGCUGACAGCCUGCGUUUGACUUGAGUGUGUGAUAACGUUUGCAGCUUUUCUAGCCAAUCAGAGGCAAAGGAGGCGGGACUUUCUCCUACCGUCCUAUAAAAAAAAUAUUGCCUCCUGUGAGCUAGCUGUGUUUGCAUUGGGUCUCAUAGAACAUAUUCAUGACCCUGUAAAUGUCACUGCAUUGUUAUCUUGCGCAGACCUGUAUCAUACAGAUUUUUUUAAGUAUUGUUGCAGGUCAAUCUAAUAAUUUAGCUUUUAACUUUAUCUGCUUUUGUAAUACACACAAAUACACACAUACACACACACACACACCCAGACAGUCAAACACAGACAUUUUGUCACAGAUGUUAAAGUUUGCACUGAAAUGUUCAGAUUCAAGAUCUAAGAAUCUGGAUAAAAUAAAUUAUAUGUCAAGUAAGACACAUCGCGAAUUGCUUUCAACGUGCGACUCUUAUUACCAUUUCUAUACGCAAGAGCUGUAAAAACUGAUCUCCAGUGAAUCAGUCGACCAGCUAACAUGGACAUUUGUCAACAACAGAUCUGUGGAGGUCCAGUUAUCUGAUAAAAUGGAGGACAAACUGACCAUGGCGGUACGCUUCAUAACCCUGGGGAAGAAUAAGUGAGGAGGUCUUAUUGUCUGGCACGACAAAUCCUUACAGUGUAGUUAACCCCAACCAUGUUUGAUGAAAUAGCAUGAAAGAAAACCCUCAUCUCCAUCAUAAAUUAAUCCAACACAGCAUGUAAAUGAGCGAGUUAUUUGUGUAAAUUAGGCAAGACAACACAAAACCUUCAGCCGCUCAGAUACAUGCAAAUUAAGUAAUUUUCAACAGCCAAACAAGCUGAAAGUUAUUAAAAAAGUUGUCAAGCUUUCAUCAAAAUUACACAAUUUAGCCGAAGAAUAUCAAAACUUAUUUUUAGACAAAGUAAUGCGCCAGAGAAAGCCUGACUGCAGCAUCGUAUCUGGGGGUUAAAGUCCACGGCAGCGAAUGAACUAUUGAUAACUGUUCGAUCCCUGGUGGUGUGUUUGUGUGUUUACAGCAGCAGGAGAUCAAACCAUGCGCAGCGCUCGGUGUUACGCGCCGGAGCCAGAGGUUCUCUGCUAAAAAACUCCCAGGAGGGGUGGAGGGGGUCAGCGUAGGCCGAGAACCUCCUGCCUGAGCUCUCAGCUGGCAGCAUGGAGCUUCACAGGGCUCUGAGGGGUGGUGUUGAGAAACUGUUUAAACACGAGGCAUGUGUGUGAGCGUGUUGUAAGUGUGUGUGUGUGCGUGUGUGUUCUCCCUGCUCAAAUGUUCACAAAUUAGCCAAUAUCAGGAGUUAAGUUACGCGCACACACACGAAACACCCACACUCCUUGGUUCACUGGGCAGAGGUUUUAUACAAUUGGCUCGGGUUCAACAGCAACACUCAGCAGAUAGAGAGCAUGAUGGGGGAGUGAGCUCUGCCCUGAGAGGUUAGAGUGAUACAUAUUUCUCGUAAAUGCAGGUCUGUUUUUGCUACUUUCAUUGUUGAUUGAAAUAACACAGUAGUGAUUCAGCGUGGACUCGGGUCACAAUCCUACAUCUGCCCUUCUAAUCACUUUAUACUGGGGGCGGUCCUGAUUAAAUCCUGAGCGGAGAGACGGACUGAUGAGGUUUACGUUUUCCUGCAGAGGGGAAAGUGUUUUGUUUGGAAGACUUAGAAAGACUUUUGGCCUGAGCUGGUCAUCCGGUGAGAUUAGCAGGUCUAAAACUUUAUCUGAUUCUUCCAUUAGAGUCUCAGUAGGUGAUCUUUUUUUAGCUGUUUACGCCACGGUAGUUUCUCCUCUUCCUGAACAGUGUAGGUACCAGAUGAAGACGUCACCCCACGGUAGGGUGACCAUACGUCCUUUUUUCCCUGGACAUGUCCUCUUUUUUGGGGGCUGUUCGGUCUUGUCUGGGGGAGUUUAUAAAAUCCUUCAAAUGUCCGGGGUUGUGUAUGGAAGUUUUGAGUUUGUGUCGUGUGGACUUACUGACUGGCUAAACCCACAGGAUCCAGAACGGUGGCGCUCCGCUCCGGAACAGCAGGCGGAUCAGAUCCGCAAGCAUACAGUACCCACCGGAUCCGAUCCCCCGCCGCCAUCAGAGGAAAAGUGCUCGCGAGAUUACCGAUAUUUCUCACGAGACUGGACAAAAUCUCACGAGCUCUUGUGUGUUUCCCCGGGAGUCAUAGAAUGAGAUCCGCCAAUCGGUGUGUAUCAACGGCGGUGUGUAUAAACACCCACAUCCCACAACCCUGGCCUCCUAUUAUCAAGUUAAGAACAUUUCAAUAUAUUGACUUUAUUUAUUUUGAAAAUUAACCGGAUAUUUUACCCUGUAAGCUGCACUGAAUUGAUGCGCCGUGCUCCGACAUCCGCCAAAAUAGAAGCCUUGCGUAUCUGAAUAAAGUGAACCUAUAAAACAAGAAAUAUUGUCCGCAUUUCUUUUACGAAACCAUGCAGAAGUUCACAUUUGGUCAGUGCAAUGGAAACAGACAUCAGUCCUGACGUCUGACUUGAACACCUGGACUUUGACCAAGAUGCUCCUACAGAGAUGAAAAUUGAAGACAGCGCCAGAGUGAAAAAAAAAAAAAAUCACUUCAGAUAUUUCCAAAGGCAGUUGGAGUUAGCGUCUCCCAUUUUUGGGAUUGACAACCCUCUUCGGAAAAACAGUUUGUGAAGUCGUUGAGACCACAUCCAGGUUUUUGCGCUCUCUGUCUUUAACACGGGUCCUGGAUAAGGGUCAAGUGUUGUGUGUGGUCAUGAGGGGAACAGGAGUUAUUCCCAGUGGACCAAUGAGAUCACACAUCACAUCCACACAGCGACAUCAUCAACCUGCAGGCAAAUCAGAAGUGAGGAUGACAUCAUCAACAAUCAUCAACUUGUUGAUAAUCUCAACUUCCUGGCUGUGAGUGAUGAGGUCAUGUGGCGGUAAGUCAUGAUGUGACCACUUUAGGUCUGAGGUGAUGAAUAAAUGCAUUUUAUUCUCUACAGAUUAGCGAGAGAGGGAUUGUAUUGAAAUUGGAUUAAUGUAUUCAUGGUUCCCAGAGGAUAACAGCUGACCGGGAACAGUCAUUCAUCCAAUCACUGCUUCCAUGUCAUUCAUAAAAACUAUUCUGCUGCUACGAUUUUUUUUCAUUUUCUUAUCUUGAUCUGUUUUUAUGUGUACAGUCUAAUUAGUAUUUGUUUCUGCUUGAUGUUCAGUUGAUGUUUUCUUGUGUAGUUUGUAUCUGAUUAUUAUGAUUUAAAGUCACGGUUGAUGAUUGAAGAAGCAGCUGAAAAAACUGAGCCGUUGAGGAAGAUUUGAAAAAGCGUCCCCCCCCCCCCCACACCACACACACACACAAACCUUUCCCCUCUGUGCUCCACGAAUAACUCCCCCCCUGAACCUGUAUCACUCUCCCCAGGACACACCCCCUCUGAGCUCAGAGCAAGAAGCUGGCCGGCAAUGGAUCCUACGCUAGCUUCAAAUAGGAUUCACCAUGUCGGAUUUCUAGUGACUAGCGGCGGUAAAUGCCAGCACUGCUAGCGAGCGCCAUCUGCAGCUGCCUGGACAGCUUCAGUGUUGACAUGUCAGAGACUAAUAAGAGUUAUUUAUGUAACAUGUGCCACGAUAAAAGGUGAAAUGACCUGUUCAACAAAAACUCUGCUGUCUCUGCGUCUGUUUUCAGGACCAAAUCCUGGCGGAGCUUUCUCCACCGCAGCAAGGUGAUUGGAUGGAGAGGCGGAGCAGGAGAUUGACCAAUAGGAGCUGUCCGGGACGGAUGGCUCCCAUUGGUCGAUGUUUUUGCAGCCCUGCACCUGCUAGGGUGAACGGAUUUUUUCUGUUCUUUUU
rnacentral:lncRNA from 1 species